rnacentral:misc_RNA from 1 species
GAAAUGCGAUACGUAAUGCGAAUUGCAGAAUUCAGUGAAUCAUCGAAUCUUUGAACGCAAAUUGCGGUCCUGGGAUAUUCCUGAGACCAUGCCUCGUCGAGUAUCGGUUUUAACUAACCUCCACAGCGUGCUGAUUUAUUAGUACAAUGUGGGAAAUUGAGCGUGUCGGUGCUUAACUGACUCGCUUUAAAUUCAUAGAACUGUGUCCACAGCGAGUACGCUUGUUCAGUAGACAUUGAUAUUUUGCUUCGGCAAUAAAUCAUAUGUCGCUUACCUGGCAAGUCUGAAUUCGUUUGUUGGCUGUAUGUUCUCCAAUGAGAAUCUACUUUCUUGACGUUUUAGAUCGAAACCGCAAGGUGUCUCUUUAACUACGAGAAUUUCUAAACAAGAUCUCGACUGA